rnacentral:rRNA from 1 species
GAUGAACGCUGGCGGCGUGCCUAAUACAUGCAAGUCGAGCGAACGGACGAGAAGCUUGCUUUUCUGAUGUUAGCGGCGGACGGGUGAGUAACACGUGGAUAACCUACCUAUAAGACUGGGAUAACUUCGGGAAACCGGAGCUAAUACCGGAUAAUAUUUUGAACCGCAUGGUUCAAAAGUGAAAGACGGUCUUGCUGUCACUUAUAGAUGGAUCCGCGCUGCAUUAGCUAGUUGGUAAGGUAACGGCUUACCAAGGCAACGAUGCAUAGCCGACCUGAGAGGGUGAUCGGCCACCCUGGAACUGAGACGCGGUCCAGACUCCUACGGGAGGCAGCAGUAGGGAAUCUUCCGCAAUGGGCGAAAGCCUGACGGAGCAACGCCGCGUGAGUGAUGAAGGUCUUCGGAUCGUAAAACUCUGUUAUUAGGGAAGAACAUAUGUGUAAGUAACUGUGCACAUCUUGACGGUACCUAAUCAGAAAGCCACGGCUAACUACGU